rnacentral:misc_RNA from 1 species
GGAAGUAAAAGUCGUAACAAGGUUUCCGUAGGUGAACCUGCGGAAGGAUCAUUCAUAAUAAAGUGUUUUAUGGCACUUUUUAAAAAUCCAUAUCCACCUUGUGUGCAAUGUUAGAUCUCGUCAAUCUUGGCGAGAUUUUUAUACAUCAACUCAUUUUUUAACUAAUUUGUCUGAAAAAUAUUAUGAAUACUUAAUUCAAAAUACAACUUUCAACAACGGAUCUCUUGGCUCUC